GCAGCCGUUGACGAGGAAUCAUAUCCUACAAUAACACGCAUUAAGUAUCUUAACAGCAUUGGAGUUAUCUGGUAUCUGACAGAUAUGUUUACCUUCUGGCCUCAAGCAAUCAUGAGUGUAGCUCUUGCUGUGGAAAGGUAUAUGCUAAUAUCGCGAGGAUUAGAUGCACGUUCUUUUUUCAGUGUUCCCAAUCGGAAAAAGUUCUAUUCGGUUGUGUUUAUACUGACGUUCAGUGUCCCUUUGGUGCGAUUUGUUUAUGUACUUCAAGACGAACUUCAGACCAGUAAUUGCUUCGGUUGUAACCAGGACUUUGGAGAUGUAAUUAUAAUGAAAUAUAUGAAAAUAGCUUUUACCGUCUCGAUAGUCUUCUUGUGCGUUGUUCUCUACUGGCGAUGCUUUGUUGCUCUCAGUUCUUCGACAAUUAAAAGAAGCGAUACUCUAACGAAGGCGUUUGCUGCUAUAUUGCUGUCGUGGGUGGUUUUGGUAUUACCAUAUGAAAUGUUCUUGGACUUCAGCCACGAAGAAUUUCGUACAAGAAUAAGAUGGGGCAUAACAUCAAUGAUGAUGACCAAAACUUGGUACGAUGGAUAUGAGAAGUACCAUUUAUCUUUAUAUCCCCCUGAGAUUAGGGACAUUGUUGAGGUGUAUGGACUUACUGACAUGGAUCAUGGUUUUCGUUGGC